AAAGGUUCCAGCUAGGAACGAGCGUGACACUAGGGUACAAAGUGAGUAAAGGAGAUACAUCAGGUUAAGUUUGGAUGAAGAUGGAAGUGUGCUGAGCUGGAGCUUUUUGUUUAUGUAAAUAGUAAUAGGCUCAGGAUGUUGUGUCUUCAUACAUAAUGUCCCAUGAUGUACUCCGCUGCAACACUUUAUUUCUCUUAUCACUUUUGGCGUGUUGUAGAAUGUUUUAAAAACUUAACCUGUA